rnacentral:rRNA from 1 species
ACAAAAACAUGUCUCUUUGAUUUUUUUUAAUAGAGAGUUUAACCUGCCCGGUGAGAUGAUUAACUUUAACGGCCGCAGUACUUUGACUGUGCUAAGGUAGCAUAAUUAUUUGCUUUAUAAUUGAAGGCUUGUAUGAAUGGUUUGACGAGAAUAAGUCUGUCUUGUUUGAAUUUUUUUGAAUUUAACUUUUAAGUGAAGAGGCUUUAAUUUUAUUGAUAGACAAGAAGACCCUGUCGAGCUUUAAUUUUUAUUUUAAAUCUAAUAUUUUGUAGUUAUUUAUGAAUUUUAGUUGGGGUGACUGAGGAAUAAUAUGAGUUUCUUUAAUUAUAAUUAUAAUUUAUUGAUUUUGAUCCAUGUUAAUGAUUAUUAGAAUUAGUUACCGCAGGGAUAACAGCAUAAUCUUUUUUGAGAGUUCAUAUCGAAAAAUAGGUUUGUGACCUCGAUGUUGGAUUAAAAUUUCCUAAAGGUGUAGAAGUUUUUAAGGGUUAGUCUGUUCGACUAUUAAAAUUUUACAUGAGCUGAG